rfam:Oryza barthii chromosome 2, whole genome shotgun sequence.
AAUAAAUACGUCGUUGACUUUUUCUCAUAUGUUUGACCAUUCGUCUCAUUCAAAAUAUUUAUGUAAUUAUAAUUUAUUUUUUUAGGAGUUGUUUUAUCACUCAUAGUACUUUAAGUGUGAUUUAUAUAUUAUACAUUUGCAUAAAAUUUUUGAAUAAGAUGAAUGGUCAAACAUGUGAAAAAAAGUCAACGGUGUCAUCUAUU